rnacentral:rRNA from 1 species
CCUACGGGAGGCUGCAGUCGAGAAUCAUUCACAAUGGGGGAAACCCUGAUGGUGCGACGCCGCGUGGGGGAAUGAAGGUCUUCGGAUUGUAAACCCCUGUCAUGUGGGAGCAAAUUAAAAAGAUAGUACCACAAGAGGAAGAGACGGCUAACUCUGUGCCAGCAGCCGCGGUAAUACAGAGGUCUCACGCGUUGUUCGGAAUCACUGGGCGUAAAGCGUGCGUAGGCUGUUUCGUAAGUCGUGUGUGAAAGGCGAGGGCUCAACCCGCGGACGGCACAUGAUACUGCGAGACUAGAGUAAUGGAGGGGGAAGCGGAAUUCUAGGUGUAGCAGUGAAAUGCGUAGAUAUCGAGAGGAACACUCGUGGCGAAGGCGGGUUCCUGGACAUUAACUGACGCUGAGGCACGAAGGCCAGGGGAGCGAAAGGGAUUAGAUACCCCUGUAGUC